CAUCUCCGCCAUCGAAAAUUAGACAACCAUGGUAUCUUUCUUAACCACAAUGAGACAGAGAAUUGCCGCCACCUCCUUCCCUUACGCUCCGCCAAGGGUGGGUGGGCUAAAAGGGGCCACCUUUCUCCCCCACCUCUACUCGAGUGCUGGGGCCCCUUCACAAAAGCCACCAUCCUCUUCUGUGCAACCUUCAACCUAGCCAUGCACACCUCAUCUUCAACGCUAUCUUCCUCUUCUUUGUCGUCAUAUUGGAGAGGAUACCAUCAUUACUCAUGAGUCCCACCUUAACUUCGCCGAGUUCUUUUCGCCGAUAGCCCCCUUGAUCUCUUUGAUGGCCUCCAUCGCCCAUGCCUCUUCGAGUUUAUCUCGAUGUUCGAGGAACUGGGGGCACGGUAUAUGUGGAUGGCGGGGUUGGGGUUAAGCAACCAGUAGACUCGUACAAAAGGAAAUUGAAGAGGACAAUGAGCAAGCGGAAUGCUCCAGAAUCCAUGGUGGAGCUGGAGGGCGCAGGUUCAAAUGGUGCUGGUGGGCGAAGGAAAAAAAAAAAAAUCCAGCUUACGUGUUGGUGGUAGCUGGUCUCUAUUCGGUAGUUUCUGAUUUGGGUUUUGUCGAUGGAGGCCCAAACCUGAAACAUGACGACCUCUUCCUUGCCACCGUCUCGAAAGGAUCAAUUUUUUCCAAACCGAGCAAAAAUGCGUUAGUAUUUUUUUUUAAAUGUAUCUUUCUUGUUGAGAUCUGUCCUUCCCGCAAUCAAGAAAAAAGAAAAGAGAGGGUACCAUAACGCCUUUAGGAUGGAAUUUA